AAGAAACAUUGAGAUUCCUGUAAAAUUAAGAAAUCACACAAUUUGAUGGUCUACAUUAUCUAAAGCAAAUGAGACUUCUAUUUGGAACAAAGACUACCUUGUUGGGAAAUGAGUCUGCAAGUUAAAGUGUUUUCUGGGAUCACUCUAAGCUCCAGUGUCAAGGAGUCAAGUCCUUCAGGAAUUCUCUGCCUCCACUCCCUGUGGCAGAGCUAGAGUGGCUGCCAUGCUUCUGAGCUCAGCCAGCAUCCAGAGAGAGAGUGAGAUACAGCCUCCUCUUCUUGAAGCACCCACUUCUAAACUCUGUGACAGUUUUCUUGGAACUCUGUUAUGUGGAUCUGGAGAUGACAAUGUCACAGCACUCCCCUCUAAGCCUAAAUUCCCCCACACCGAUGAACUAUUAGAUGAUGCAUAUCAUAAAUUAUUACUCACCCCAUGUUCCCACCCUCGAGAGACCUCCAAACAAUCACCAUGCCACAGUGAACAUUCAGUAACAAAAAUUCAGCCAGGGUUUUCACCAGCAUGAAUGGCAGUGAUUCCAAUCAGGAAAACAGAAAGAGGAGAGUUCAGAGCCACCUAGAAUGGCUCUUGCAAGAUACGAAAUCAAGGCAGCAGCAACAGGGCUGAACAUUCCUCAUCCCUAACUCUCCCUUCACCAGUAGGAAACCCAGGAUAACUGCAAUCACCGCAGGCCCAUCUGGCCUGAAGUUCUACUACUAGUAGCCCUCCAUGGGACCUUCUUAAGGAAGCAUGUCAACUCAGGUAAGGGAUGUAAGGGGAUGGAUGACCCUUUGAGGCCAAAGUUGGAGCAAAAAACACCAGAUGUUCCUGUGCACUGCUCCUAAGAGAUGGUUCUGAAGACCAGUUCGGGGAGAGGUCAAAAUACUGGACAGAAUCUCAGCAACAUGGAACCUCAAACUAAGUGACAGUCACAGACAACUCUUCCCCAAAGAAAAUAAGCACAGACAUGGUUUGUGGUAAGCAGAAUUAUAAAGAUGAAUUCCCAUCUCCCUGUCAGAUUACCAGUAUGGUAAAUUACCAGAUUACCUGGUUAUUUAUUCAAACACUAAUACAGUUAUUGCCUUGAUGGAAACAUACAGAUACAAUUAAAAUCCCAAGUACCAAAUAAAUUGACCUUAAGACAAAGACUAAGUAAAUCACAUGAGCCCUCUACAAGCAGAGAGUUUUUCUCCAGCUGGUAGCAGAAGCCAGAGAUUUGAAGCAUAGGAAGUAUUCAACACAUUAUUGCUGGCCUGAAAAUGGAAGGGGCCACAUAACGAGGGAAACCGGUGGCCUCUAGAAGCAGGGAGCAGUCCCCUGCUGACAGACAGCAAGCCAAGACCUCAGUUCUACAAUUGCAAGACACUCAAUUCUGCUAAGGACAAAAAUGAGCUUGGAAGUGAACUCUGAGCUUCAGGUGAGAACACGGCCAAACAACACCUUGAUUUCAGCUUAAACAAAGAAUGCAGCCACUCCAUGCCAGAAUUCUGACCUGUAGAAAUUUGAGCUAAUAAAUAGAUGUUUUAAUAGCUUCAUCGAUACAUACUUCACUUACUGUAAAAUUCAUUAUUUUAAAGUGUACAAUUCAGUGGUUUUCAGUAUAUCCACAAAAUGCAACCAUCACCACUAUCUGAUUUCAGGAUUUCUUUUUCUUUUCUUUUUUUUUUAAUCCCAUAAAGAAAAUCCAAACCAAUUAGCAGUCUUUCUUCCUUCUCCCUGCUCCCAGCCCGUGAAAACCACUAAAUUACUGUCUGUUUCCAUGGAUAUG
rnacentral:lncRNA from 10 species